rnacentral:rRNA from 1 species
GAUCAUGGCUCAGGAUGAACGCUGGCGGCGUGCUUAACACAUGCAAGUCGAGCGAAGCGCUUAAGUUUGAUUCUUCGGAUGAAGACUUUUGUGACUGAGCGGCGGACGGGUGAGUAACGCGUGGUAACCUGCCUCAUACAGGGGGAUAACAGUUAGAAAUGACUGCUAAUACCGCAUAAGACCACGGUACCGCAUGGUACAGUGGUAAAAACUCCGGUGGUAUGAGAUGGACCCGNGU